rnacentral:rRNA from 1 species
UACGGGGGGGGCAAGCGUUGUUCGGAAUUACUGGGCGUAAAGGGCUCGUAGGCGGCCAACUAAGUCAGACGUGAAAUCCCUCGGCUUAACCGGGGAACUGCAUCUGAUACUGGAUGGCUUGAGAUUGGGAGAGGGAUGCGGAAUUCCAGGUGUAGCGGUGAAAUGCGUAGAUAUCUGGAGGAAUACCGGUGGCGAAGGCGGCAUCCUGGACCGGCAUUGACGCUGAGGAGCGAAAGCCAGGGGAGCAAACGGG